rnacentral:rRNA from 1 species
GGAGUCUGGGCCGUGUCUCAGUCCCAAUGUGGCCGAUCACCCUCUUAGGUCGGCUACCGAUCGUCGACUAGGUGGGCCGUUACCUCACCUACUAUCUAAUCGGACGCGAGCUCACCCCUCACCGGAUUGCUCCUUUGACCCCAGAUCGAUGCCAAUCCGUGGUCUCAUGCGGUAUUAGAACCACUUUCGCGGUAUUAUCCCCCUCGUGAGGGACAGAUUGCUCACGCGUUACUCACCCGUCCGCCGCUAACUCUUAUAUCCAGCAAGCUUUCAAUAAGAGUCCGCUCGACUUGCAUGUGUUAGGCACGCCGCCCAGC